rnacentral:lncRNA from 1 species
AACACUCUUUUGGCAACACAAAUCUUUACUACAGGUCAAAGUAUGGAGUUCAUAAUGAGGACUAUUCUGGCUGAAAGUUUCCAGAUGAUGAUGAGAACUAUCUCUAUUGUAAUGAUAAUCCUUGCCUAAGAUUGUGAUAUAGAAUCUUUUGGCACAAACAAACCUUAUUAAAAUAUAGUAGAUUAUGUUCUAAGCUAGAGUAUCAGCAAGGAUUAGCCUUAGGGGUAACAAAAAAGUCAGGUU